ACCAUCCUUUUCUUGGGGUUGCGCUACUGUCCAAUGAGCGCGUAGCGAGGGCAGUACUGCUGACGCCUGCACAACACGCCCGCACCGGCUAAGGCUCCGCCUUAUCUCGGUGCAAUUUUUGGAAAA
rnacentral:ncRNA from 1 species